rnacentral:rRNA from 1 species
GACGAACGCUGGCGGCGUGCUUAACACAUGCAAGUCGAACGGUAAGGCCCUUCGGGGUACACGAGUGGCGAACGGGUGAGUAACACGUGGGUGAUCUGCCCUGCACUUUGGGAUAAGCCUGGGAAACUGGGUCUAAUACCGGAUAGGACUCCGGACUGCAUGGUCUGGGGUGGAAAGCUUUUGCGGUGUGGGAUGGGCCCGCGGCCUAUCAGCUUGUUGGUGGGGUGAUGGCCUACCAAGGCGCCGACGGGUAGCCGGCCUGAGAGGGUGACCGGCCACACUGGGACUGGGCUACGGCCCAGACUCCUACGGGAGGCAGCAGUGGGGAAUAUUGCACAAUGGGCGCAAGCCUGAUGCAGCGACGCCGCGUGAGGGAUGACGGCCUUCGGGUUGUAAACCUCUUUCAGCAUCGACGAAGCGAAAGUGACGGUAGGUGCAGAAGAAGGACCGGCCAACUACGUGCCAGCCGCCGCAGUAA